rnacentral:rRNA from 1 species
AGAGUUUGAUCCUGGCUCAGGACGAACGCUGGCGGCGCGCCUAACACAUGCAAGUCGAACGAGCGAGAGAGAGCUUGCUUUCUCGAGCGAGUGGCGAACGGGUGAGUAACGCGUGAGGAACCUGCCUCAAAGAGGGGGACAACAGUUGGAAACGACUGCUAAUACCGCAUAAGCCCACGGUGCCGCAUGGCACAGAGGGAAAAGGAGCAAUCCGCUUUGAGAUGGCCUCGCGUCCGAUUAGCUAGUUGGUGAGGUAACGGCCCACCAAGGCAACGAUCGGUAGCCGGACUGAGAGGUUGAACGGCCACAUUGGGACUGAGACACGGCCCAGACUCCUACGGGAGGCAGCAGUGGGGAAUAUUGCACAAUGGGGGAAACCCUGAUGCAGCGACGCCGCGUGGAGGAAGAAGGUCUUCGGAUUGUAAACUCCUGUUGUUGGGGAAGAUAAUGACGGUACCCAACAAGGAAGUGACGGCUAACUACGUGCCAGCAGCCGCGGUAAAACGUAGGUCACAAGCGUUGUCCGGAAUUACUGGGUGUAAAGGGAGCGCAGGCGGGAAGACAAGUUGGAAGUGAAAUCUAUGGGCUCAGCCCAUAAACUGCUUUCAAAACUGUUUUUCUUGAGUAGUGCAGAGGUAGGCGGAAUUCCCGGUGUAGCGGUGGAAUGCGUAGAUAUCGGGAGGAACACCAGUGGCGAAGGCGGCCUACUGGGCACCAACUGACGCUGAGGCUCGAAAGUGUGGGUAGCAAACAGGAUUAGAUACCCUGGUAGUCCACACCGUAAACGAUGAUUACUAGGUGUUGGAGGAUUGACCCCUUCAGUGCCGCAGUUAACACAAUAAGUAAUCCACCUGGGGAGUACGACCGCAAGGUUGAAACUCAAAGGAAUUGACGGGGGCCCGCACAAGCAGUGGAGUAUGUGGUUUAAUUCGACGCAACGCGAAGAACCUUACCAAGUCUUGACAUCCCUUGACAGGCAUAGAAAUAUGUUUUCUCUUCGGAGCAAGGAGACAGGUGGCGCAUGGUUGUCGUCAGCUCGUGUCGUGAGAUGUUGGGUUAAGUCCCGCGACGAGCGCAACCCUUAUGGUCAGUUACUACGCAAGAGGACUCUGGCCAGACUGCCGUUGACAAAACGGAGGAAGGUGGGGAUGACGUCAAAUCAUCAUGCCCUUUAUGACUUGGGCUACACACGUACUACAAUGGCGUUAAACAAAGAGAAGCAAGACCGCGAGGUGGAGCAAAACUCAGAAACAACGUCCCAGUUCGGACUGCAGGCUGCAACUCGCCUGCACGAAGUCGGAA